GCAGAUAUCAGGAGGAACACCGAUGGCGAAGGCAGGUCUCUGGGCAGUUACUGACGCUGAGGAGCGAAAGCAUGGGUAGCGAACAGGAUUAGAUACCCUGGUAGUCCAUGCCGUAAACGGUGGGCGCUAGGUGUAGGGGGCUUCCACGUCUUCUGUGCCGUAGCUAACGCAUUAAGCGCCCCGCCUGGGGAGUACGGCCGCAAGGCUAAAACUCAAAGGAAUUGACGGGGGCCCGCACAAGCGGCGGAGCAUGUGGAUUAAUUCGAUGCAACGCGAAGAACCUUACCUGGGCUUGACAUAUACAGGAUCGGGCUAGAGAUAGUCUUUCCCUUGUGGUCUGUAUACAGGUGGUGCAUGGUUGUCGUCAGCUCGUGUCGUGAGAUGUUGGGUUAAGUCCCGCAACGAGCGCAACCCUUGUCUUAUGUUGCCAGCACGUUAUGGUGGGAACUCAUGAGAGACUGCCGGGGUUAACUCGGAGGAAGGUGGGGAUGACGUCAAAUCAUCAUGCCCCUUAUGUCCAGGGCUUCACACAUGCUACAAUGGUCGAUACAGUGGGCAGCGACAUCGUAAGGUGGAGCGAAUCCCUGAAAGUCGGCCUUAGUUCGGAUUGGGGUCUGCAACUCUGACCCCCAUGCAAGUCGG
rnacentral:rRNA from 1 species